rnacentral:rRNA from 1 species
UACUAGAGUAGCACUCGCAUAUCAAUAAGCGGAGGAAAAGAAACUAACAAGGAUUCCCCUAGUAACGGCGAGUGAAGCGGGAAGAGCUCAAAUUUGAAAUCUUAAAGGGUUUCCCUUUACGAAUUGUAGUUUAAAGAAGUGUUUUCUGUUGAGGUUUUGGUAAAAGUUCUUUGGAAUAGGACAUCAUAGAGGGUGAGAAUCCCGUAUUUGACCUUUACUUUCAACUUUGUGAUACACUUUCAAAGAGUCGGAUUGUUUGGGAAUGCAGUCCAAAAUGGGUGGUAAAUUUCAUCUAAAGCUAAAUAUUGGCGAGAGACCGAUAGCGAACAAGUACCGUGAGGGAAAGAUGAAAAGAACUUUGAAAAGAGAGUUAAACAGUACGUGAAAUUGUCAAAAGGGAAGCGUUUGACACCAGUGUUGUUUUUCUGAAAAUCAAUUAAAGAACUGUUUAUGCUAAGUUGUUUAGACUUUAUCAGCUAACUGUUUAGUUUUGAGCUUUUCUUUAAUGCACUUUUCAGUUAACAAGUCAACAUCAAUUUCUUUUGCUGUAAAAAAGCUUGAGGAAGGUGGCUUGAGAUUCGUCUUAAGUGUUUAUAGCCUCUUGCCUAUGCAGUCGGAGAGAUUGAGGUCUGCAGCGUAGAUCCUUCGGGGCUAAAUGCAUUUGUGCUAAGUUAUAGCAUUUUAUAGACAACUUGUUGACUAUGAUUUGUCUCGUAGCUUACUCGCUUAUGUUAUUUUACCUACGCUUAGGAUGUUGAACUACUGAGACAUAGA